GCUGUGUAUCACAUGGGUGAAAAAAUAUGGCGGAACCAGUGGUGUCCCAGAGAAGAACUCGGGGCUACGAACGUAAUAAACAGACAGUAACUGAAGAUACUUAUGAUGGUGCAAACAAAGUUAAAUUGUCACCAAGAUAAAAAAAAAAAAAAGAAAAAAGAAAAAAAUGCACAAAAGGCUUGGCGGGAAAGACUAAAACAGGAUCUAUACUUAUAUGAACACCACCGUUAAUAUGAAACCGCAAGGGUUCAAGCAUUUAUAGCUCCCAUAAAUAUAGACCAAAAAAUGAAUAUAGCUAAACGGCUCUUUUAAGGAUGCAGAAAUAUAGAGAGAGAAAGAAAAAAGAAGGGACAGCCGAUACAAACACCCCAACAGAGGAAAGAAAGCAUGAUCAUCUUACGGUGGAGCAUUGUGUUAAUUUUGUUGAUAUGAACACGAGUCAUAUUGAUUUUGGCUUUGAAACAGAGAAAUUUUUUUUUGGUUCACGCCAUGGAAAAGGUCCGUGUGACGGAGAAGCUUGAGUAAUAAAAAGAAGUGCAACGAUUGCAGUUGCUUCAAGAGGAUUUAUCAUCUCAAAUGCAAAUGAUUUCUUCGAGUAUGCAAAGAAUCAACUAACAGUACCAAAAGAUAACAAAGUAGAUAAGCAUAGUCAUUCAAAGAGGACAUUUUGUCUUUCUUACAACUGAUGAAGUCAAAAAAGAUAUACCAGACAGAACACAAAAAAUUAAAACUUUGAAGCAGUCAAGAAGUUUGUUCUCUUUUAGAGGAAUACAGCCAUACAUAACAACUACAAGGGAGCACAGCUGUUUCUGUGACAUCUGUGUAGGAAACACCAUUGGAGUCUGUCAGUAUGAAAGCUUGACUGGUAAAGGGAAAGUGGACAAUCUAAAAAUUAGGGAACGACGUUCAAAAAACCAGCUAGCUGCAAGCUGAAGUUGUGGUCAACUAGUUGUUGCUACCUUGAGUAACGAUAACAGCAUCCCUCCAAAAUACGAUGUUGCUGAGAUCAUUGAAGUUGUUAAUGAACUUCUUCUCAAGUUUAUGGCCAAGGGCAACCAUAUCUACUACUGGCCAAGCAAAGCUGACACUAGCUGGGAGACAUUUUCAUCUGUAGUGAGAAGUGUUGGUGACCCUGUAUUUGUGCCAGAAAAGUCAAAUCACAGAAGACUAUACAGAUUAAAUUAACAUAUUUAAAACAUUAAAAUAAAACGUUUAUUUCCUC